AACGAACGCUGGCGGCAUGCCUAACACAUGCAAGUCGAACGAUACCUUCGGGUCUAGUGGCGCACGGGUGCGUAACGCGUGGGAAUCUGCCCUUGGGUUCGGGAUAACAGUUGGAAACGACUGCUAAUAUCGUAUGCCGUCUUCGGCUUGAAAAAGUAUCGCCCAGGGAUGAGCCCGCGUCGGAUUAGCUAGUUGGUAGGGUAAAAGGCUCCCAAGGCGACGAUCCGUAGCUGGUCUGAGAGGAUGAUCAGCAACACGGGGACUGAGACACUGCCCCGACGCAUAACGGAGGCAGUAGUGGGGAAUAGUGGACAAUGGGCGAAAGGCUGAUCCAGCAAUGCCGCGUGAGUGAUGAAGGCCGUAGGGUUGUAAAGCUCUUUUACCCGGGAUGAUAAUGACAGUACCGGGAGAAUAAGCCCCGGGUAACUCCGUGCCGGCCGCCGCAGUAA
rnacentral:rRNA from 1 species